GACGGACGCUGGCGGCGUGCUUAACACAUGCAAGUCGAACGGAAAGGCCUGCUUUCCCUUGUGUCUUGCGUGUACUCGGGUGGCGAACGGGUGAGUAACACGUGAGUGAUCUGCCCCCAACUUGGGUAUAAGCCUGGGAAACUGGGUCUAAUUCCCGAUAGGACUGCAGGGUGGUGCCUGUGGUGGAAAACGAUUUUCUAGUGGUUGGGGAUGAGCUCGCGGCCUAUCAGCUUGUUGGUGGGGUAAUGGCCUACCAAGGCGGCGACGGGUAGCCGGCCUGGGGGGGGGGACCGCACAAGUGGGACGGGGGAACGGCCCGGAACCCGAGGGGGGGAAGAAGGGGGGAAAAUGGGCAAAGGGGGGGAAGCUGGACGCGGCGAGCGCGGGGGGGGGAUGCCGGCCUUCGGGUUGUAAACUGCUUUCGACCGGGAGGAAGCCACCUGGUUGGAAGGGUGGUGACGGUAGUGGUAGAAGAAGCACCGGCUAACUACGUG
rnacentral:rRNA from 1 species